rnacentral:rRNA from 1 species
GUACACUCCUACGGGAGGCAGCAGUGGGGAAUAUUGCACAAUGGGCGCAAGCCUGAUGCAGCCAUGCCGCGUGUAUGAAGAAGGCCUUCGGGUUGUAAAGUACUUUCAGCGGGGAGGAAGGCGAUAAGGUUAAUAACCUUGUUGAUUGACGUUACCCGCAGAAGAAGCACCGGCUAACUCCGUGCCAGCAGCCGCGGUAAUACGGAGGGUGCAAGCGUUAAUCGGAAUUACUGGGCGUAAAGCGCACGCAGGCGGUCUGUCAAGUCGGAUGUGAAAUCCCCGGGCUCAACCUGGGAACUGCAUUCGAAACUGGCAGGCUAGAGUCUUGUAGAGGGGGGUAGAAUUCCAGGUGUAGCGGUGAAAUGCGUAGAGAUCUGGAGGAAUACCGGUGGCGAAGGCGGCCCCCUGGACAAAGACUGACGCUCAGGUGCGAAAGCGUGGGGAGCAAACAGGAUUAGAAACCCGGGUAGUCC